GUCUUGUAAAUGGAAUGAUGGGAAUCUAAACCCUUCCCAGAGUAUCAAUUGGAGGGCAAGUCUGGUGCCAGCAGCCGCGGUAAUUCCAGCUCCAAUAGCGUAUAUUAAAGUUGUUGCAGUUAAGAAGCUCGUAGUUGAAUUUCUGCCUUGUCAUUAAUCUCGCUUCCGAGCGUUUUUUUAUUGGCUUGGCAUCUUCUGGAUUUGGUGCCUUCGGGUACUAUUUUCCAGGAUUUACUUUGAGAAAACUAGAGUGUUUCAAACAGGCAUUCGCCUUGAAUACUACAGCAUGGAAUAAUGAAGUAGGACUUUGGUUCUAUUUGUUGGUUAUUGAGCCAGAGUAAUGGUUAAUAGGACAGUUGGGGGCAUUCGUAUUUAACUGUCAGAGGUGAAAUUCUUAGAUUUGUUAAAGACGAACUACUGCGAAAGCAUUUGCCAAGGAUGUUUUCAUUAAUCAAGAACGAAAGUUAGGGGAUCGAAGACGAUCAGAUACCGUCGUAGUCCUAACCAUAAACUA
rnacentral:rRNA from 1 species